AUUGAACGCUGGCGGCAUGCUUUACACAUGCAAGUCGAACGGCAGCGCGGGCUUCGGCCUGGCGGCGAGUGGCGAACGGGUGAGUAAUACAUCGGAACGUGCCCAGUAGUGGGGGAUAGCUCGGCGAAAGCCGGAUUAAUACCGCAUACGACCUGAGGGUGAAAGCGGGGGAUCUUCGGACCUCGCGCUAUUGGAGCGGCCGAUGGCAGAUUAGCUAGUUGGUGGGGUAAAGGCCUACCAAGGCGACGAUCUGUAGCUGGUCUGAGAGGACGACCAGCCACACUGGGACUGAGACACGGCCCAGACUCCUACGGGAGGCAGCAGUGGGGAAUGUUGGACAAUGGGCGGAAGCCUAAUCCAGCAAUGCCGCGUGUGUGAUGAAGGCCUUCGGGUUGUAAAGCACUUUUGGCGGGAACGAAAAGGACUGUGCCAAUACCACGGUUCGAUGACGGUACCCGCAGAAUAAGCACCGGCUAACUACGUG
rnacentral:rRNA from 1 species